rnacentral:rRNA from 1 species
CGCAUCUGUGCAUGCAGCAUAUCAAUAAGCGGAGGAAAAGAAACUAACAAGGAUUCCCCUAGUAACGGCGAGUGAAGCGGGAAGAGCUCAAAUUUGAAAUCUUAAAGGGUUUCCCUUUACGAAUUGUAGUUUAAAGAAGUGUUUUCUGUUGAGGUUUUGGUAAAAGUUCUUUGGAAUAGGACAUCAUAGAGGGUGAGAAUCCCGUAUUUGACCUUUACUUUCAACUUUGUGAUACACUUUCAAAGAGUCGGAUUGUUUGGGAAUGCAGUCCAAAAUGGGUGGUAAAUUUCAUCUAAAGCUAAAUAUUGGCGAGAGACCGAUAGCGAACAAGUACCGUGAGGGAAAGAUGAAAAGAACUUUGAAAAGAGAGUUAAACAGUACGUGAAAUUGUCAAAAGGGAAGCGUUUGACACCAGUGUUGUUUUUCUGAAAAUCAAUUAAAGAACUGUUUAUGCUAAGCUGUUUAGACUUUAUCAGCUAUACUGUUUAGUUUUGAGCUUUUCUUUAAUGCACUUUUCAGUUAACAAGUCAACAUCAAUUUCUUUUGCUGUAAAAAAGCUUGAGGAAGGUGGCUUGAGAUUCGUCUUAAGUGUUUAUAGCCUCUUGCCUAUGCAGUCGGAGAGAUUGAGGAUCUGCAGCGCUAGAUCCUUCGGGGCUAAAUGCAUUUGUGCUAAGUUAUAGCAUUUUAUAGACAACUUGUUGACUAUGAUUUGUCAUUGUAGCUUACUCGCUUAUGUUAUUUUACCUACGCUUAGGAUGUUGAGUCAUCACACAUCUCU